AUUUAUUAGCGAUUCCAAAUUGAAUUGGCUCUUCUAUCACUAAAUUAACUAAUCUACAUUAAACAAGUACUAUAUUUACAAUGAGUAGCUAUGAAGAGUUAAUACAUCUAGAUAUACAGUACAUUCACACACAGUCACAGUACAUACUUCACAAAAUAGAUGUAACAAAACAUAGACUCAUAGUCAUUUAUACCCCAUCCCGAUCCUCUCGUGGGCCACGUCUGUGAGAUAGACUUUCACACUUGUUCUAAAAAAUGAAAUCUUUGCAAUUUCGGAAGCUAUCUGGCAGAGCUAGAGUUAAAUUGAUUUGCACAGUACAACUCAAGUUGUCAGACUGAGCAGGUUGCAACUGACAGUUUUAGGCACAAGUGUGUAGUGUAUCGGCCAUAUUAACAAACGUGUGUCCUUCAGAAACUUACAUAAAAGUAAUAUAUCUCCAUGAACGUUGUCAGGGACACCGGAACAGGGGGGAGGGGCAGGAGGGGCAGCUGCCCCUCUUGCCUUUUGCUAGGAGGGUCAAGGGGGGCAAAAGUGCCCUUUGAGUUAUAAAAUACUACCUGAUAAAUCACAUUUCCAGUGAUGCUUUUUGGGCAAAGUCAUGAGGUGUGAUCUUGAAUGUGACCUGAUUAAGUGCG